rnacentral:rRNA from 1 species
UACGUAGGGUGCAGGCGUUAAUCGGAAUUACUGGGCGUAAAGCGUGCGCAGGCGGCUCCUUAAGUCAGAUGUGAAAGCCCCGGGCUUAACCUGGGAACUGCGUUGAAACUGGGGAGCUAGAGUGUGGAAGAGGGGGUGGAAUUCCAGGUGUAGCAGUGAAAUGCGUAGAGAUCUGGAGGAACACCGAUGGCGAAGGCAGCCCCUGGGCUAACACUGACACUGAUGAG